CAAUAGCGUAUAUUUAAGUUGUUGCAGUUAAAAAGCUCGUAGUUGGAUUUCGGGUGUGAACGACCGGUCCGUCUUUGAUGUGUACUGGUUGGUUGCGCCUUAUUGUCGAGGACGUGGUUCUAGCUUUCAUUAGCCGGGACACGGAGUCGGCAGCGUUACUUCGAGAAAAUUAGAGUGUUCAAAGCAGGCUAUCGCUCUGAAUACUACAGCAUGGAAUAACACGAUAGGACUCCGAGCCUAUUCUGUUGGUCUUCGGGACCGGAGUAAUGAUUAAGAGGGACAGUUGGGGGCAUUCGUAUUCCGAUGUCAGAGGUGAAAUUCUUGGAUUAUCGGAAGACGAGCAUCUGCGAAAGCAUUUGCCAAGGAUGUUUUCAUUAA
rnacentral:rRNA from 1 species